GAGUCAGUAGAAGAUGAUUAUUGAACCCC
rnacentral:rRNA from 1 species